rnacentral:rRNA from 1 species
CCUACGGGAGGCUGCAGUGGGGAAUAUUGCACAAUGGGGGAAACCCUGAUGCAGCAACGCCGCGUGAGUGAAGAAGUCUUUCGGUAUGUAAAGCUCUAUCAGCAGGGAAGAAAAUGACGGUACCUGAAUAAGCCUCCCCGGCUCCCUCCGUGCCAGCAGCCGCGGUCCUACGUCGGGGGCACGCGUUAUCCGGAUUUACUGGGUGUAAAGGGGGCGCAGACGGCAGUGCAGGUCUGGAGUGAAAGCCCGGGGCCAAACCCCGGAACUGCUGUGGAAACUGUGCGGCUAGAGUAGGGGAGGGGCAGGCGGAAUUCCUAGUGUAGCGGUGAAAUGCGUAGAUAUCAGGAGGAACACCAGUGGCGAAGGCGGCCUGCUGGACAGUAACUGACGUUGAGGCUCGAAAGCGUGGGGAGCAAACAGGAUUAGAUACCCCAGUAGUC